AGUCUGAGAUGACUAUACUGUCUGUGUAGGUAUAUAAAAAAUAAAACCUAACGGCUAGUCUUGUGCUAGUUGAUGGCAAGGAAUAGUUCUAAGUGGAGAUCAUAUGAACUCCUCCUUAUAAAGUGCCACAGAGACGAGUGCUGUAGAAAUAUAGUGUGUGAAACGCGGUAAACCCCUCAGGCA
rnacentral:RNase_P_RNA from 1 species